AAUCUGGUGGCUCACCAUACAGGCUAUUAUUCAAACUGNCCAACUCGAGAGUGGUAGAGGUCACUGGAAUUUCUUGUGUAGGAGUGAAAUCCGUAGAUAUAAGAAGGAACACCGAUGGCGUAGGCAGGUGACUGGACCAUUUCUGACGCUAAGGCACGAAAGCGUGGGGAGCGAACCGGAUUAGAUACCCGGGUAGUCCACGCCGUAAACGAUGGAUACUGGCUGUUGGAGGUAUCGACCCCUUCAGUAGCGAAGCUAACGCGUUAAGUAUCCCGCCUGUGGAGUACGGCCGCAAGACUAAAACAUAAAGGAAUUGACGGGGACCCGCACAAGCGGUGGAUCGUGUUCUUUAAUUCGAUGCUAAACGAAGAACCUUACCAGGGCUUGACNCCAGGGAAUUUUUGGGAAACCAAUUAGUGCC
rnacentral:rRNA from 1 species